UACGGAAGGGGGCUAGCGUUGCUCGGAAUCACUGGGCGUAAAGGGUGCGUAGGCGGGUUUUAAGUCAGGGUGAAAUCCUGGAGCUCAACUCCAGAACUGCCUUUGAUACUGAAGAUCUUGAGUCCGGGAGAGGUGAGUGGAACUGCGAGUGUAGAGGUGAAAUUCGUAGAUAUUCGCAAGAACACCAGUGGCGAAGGCGGCUCACUGGCCCGGUACUGACGCUGAGGCACGAAAGCGUGGGGAGCAAACAGGG
rnacentral:rRNA from 1 species